CUUGAGGUCGAUCUGGCUCAGCUUAACUGAGAGUAAGGCCGCAAGGCUGCGAGUUCUGAGGUCGGUCGCACUGAGGUUGGGCGACUCGAAGGUCACUGUCGUUGUGCUCGUCAUCAUGUGCCGGCGAUGUAUUCACGCGUUUUGGGCAAUCCAUUUUUUCCCAACAGUAUCAUUUUUCAUUUACAUGCAAGUGACACAUGAUUGCAUGCAACAUUCAAAGAAGAGCACGAACGUGACUAGAAGUCUAAACGAUGGUGACAGUUCAAAAGCAAUAUAAUUUUGUUAUUCAUCUGAAACAGAUUGGUGCAAGGGAAACAUGAACUGCAACGUAGUGAUAGAAAAUUUAGUUCCAUGAUAAUCUAAAGAUGGUUUCAUCCAUGCGUUGGGAACUUCCCACUUGUCAUUCAAACACUUUGUUAAUUUCCCCUUCAAUAAUCGAAGCCAGUUCAUGACAUAUAAGUUACAUGGAAUUUUGGUUUAUUAUUAUUAUUAUUAUUUUCCUGUCGAUCAUAUCUUAUCCCCUCUUUUUCUACGAAUCCAAAGAGUCUAUUGAGCCACCAAAGUGGUACCACAGAUGGAACAAUACUUUGUUUCCACCGGGGUGGCCCAGGUGCGAAACGCGUGGGCGUCGAUUAAAUUUAGAAACCGGAUGCCCCACGCCUGGAUGCUUUCGGUGGAAGUACUACUGUUCUGCUGGUACCGACGUGGUGCUGCGGUGACGUACUCACACGUGGGUGAGGAAUCCAGUGGGAAAAACCUACCGGUCGGGAGAGUAC
rnacentral:lncRNA from 1 species